GAAAGCCGUAUGCGGUAAAAGUCGCACGUACGGUUUGGGUUGGGGGAAAACUCGGAGAUAAAUUCAAAGAGUUACCUAUCAACAC
rnacentral:ncRNA from 1 species